UCUAAUAUGGCAGAAUAGUGCAAUGAAUUUAAGAUUCAUUUAUAAAGAAAAAUCUUUUAUUGGAA
rnacentral:tRNA from 1 species